rnacentral:rRNA from 1 species
UACGAAGGGUGCAAGCGUUACUCGGAAUUACUGGGCGUAAAGCGUGCGUAGGUGGUUUGUUAAGUCUGUUGUGAAAGCCCCGGGCUCAACCUGGGGAUGGCAAUGGAUACUGGCAAGCUAGAGUGCGGUAGAGGGUAGUGGAAUUCCCGGUGUAGCGGUGAAAUGCGUAGAGAUCGGGAGGAACACCAGUGGCGAAGGCGGCUACCUGGACCAGCACUGACACUGAGGCACGAAAGCGUGGGGAGCGAACAGG